rnacentral:rRNA from 1 species
GUAGGGGUCCAAGCGUUAAUCGGAAUUACUGGGCGUAAAGCGUGCGCAGGCGGGUUGUGCAAGACCGAUGUGAAAUCCCCGGGGCUUAACCUGGGAAUUGCAUUGGUGACUGCACGGCUAGAGUGUGUCAGAGGGGGGUAGAAUUCCACGUGUAGCAGUGAAAUGCGUAGAGAUGUGGAGGAAUACCGAUGGCGAAGGCAGCCCCCUGGGAUAACACUGACGCUCAUGCACGAAAGCGUGGGGAGCAAACAGGAUUAGAUACCCUGGUAGUCCACGCCCUAAACGAUGUCAACUAGUUGUUGGGGAUUCAUUUCCUUAGUAACGUAGCUAACGCGUGAAGUUGACCGCCUGGGGAGUACGGUCGCAAGAUUA